rnacentral:rRNA from 1 species
UACGUAGGGUGCAAGCGUUGUCCGGAAUUAUUGGGCGUAAAGAGCUCGUAGGCGGUCUGUCGCGUCUGCUGUGAAAACCCGGGGCUCAACCCCGGGCUUGCAGUGGAUACGGGCAGACUAGAGUUCGGUAGGGGAGACUGGAAUUCCUGGUGUAGCGGUGAAAUGCGUAGAGAUUUGGAGGAACACCAGUGGCGAAGGCGACUUUCUGGUCUGUAACUGACGCUGAGGCGCGAAAGCGUGGGGAGCAAACAGG